CGAUACAAAAUAACCCUAGCAACACAAAAGAAGAGGCAAUUGAAGAAACUAAUAAAGUGCAAGGGGAAGAACUGCUUUGAUAACAGCAAAUCCAUUAAAAUGCCUCGUGAAAAUGAAAGAAACUACACUGAUUGUGAGAAGUUUUUGAUAUGUAUAACAUGUGGCCUAGCUUAUCUCUGCCUUUAAAAAAACUGAACUUAAAUACAUUAUAGUCCAAAUGCUGAUACUAAAUAUUAGUGCUUAUAAUUUAGAUGUAAUUUUUAUCCUUGCUGCUACUUUACAUUUUAACAAAAGUUUUGAAUAAGUCAAAAUUCCAUGCUUAAGUAGAAUUGUUUCUGGCAGUUAUUGCAGAAAUGAUACUGACUUUCUAGCAAUCAAAGAAUAUAAUCAAGCUCUAGUAUAGCAGCACAAACAUAGACAUAGGCAUAGUUUUUCAAAUACAACAUACGCAGCCUGUACAUGUAACAACAUACAAAUAAAAGAACUAUCAUAAAAUGCAGCUACCAAGUACUUUAUGAAGGCCAUUAAAGGAACAGCAGUAUUCAUUUAUCGACACAACCUAUAUCACAUUGGUAGCAAACUACUCCCACUGUAUAAAGAUGGGCGUUAACUUCAAAUUGGACAUAGCCGGUAAAGUAAACAGCAAGGGGGAUUACCCCUAAAAAAUCCUCGGCAAACAAGCAAAGGUAUUAAGAAAAAUUUGGACUUCAAAGAAGUCAUAAACAGAGUAACAAACUUCAUCAUUUAAAACCAGAAUGCCAGGGAGGAAUCGAUCAAAUCAAGGAAAGAAUGUAGUCAUGUGUGCUGUGGGUGGAGGAGCAGUUGGUGUAUGUGUUUCUCUUGGAAUGAAGAAAGGAGCGGUUGUAGGGACAGUGAUUGGAGGGCCCGGUGGGGCCGUGGUUUGUGGAUUGGUUGGAGCUGGUAUUGGUGCUUACAUUGGAUCUAAAAUAUAGUGACUUAAUUUUAAAUAAAAAAUACGUAUAUAUGUGUAUAUGCUGCUCUUGAUAGUUUGUGUUAAUGCUAUAACAAAUUUUAAUGCACAGAAA